AAUGACCCUCCUUCCACUACUUCACAGUAACUCACAAGCUGCAAGAAACCUGAUGCCUAACUCCACAAACAAAUUUCAGGCCUUUUUCAAGAUAUAAUGAAGAAAGCUCAAAGAAACAGGCAUUCAUUUUGGCAAAAGACCCCUUGGUGCUUUGAAGAGGGGCAUGACACUAUGGAAUAAAAGCACUCCUAAUGGAACUGGAGCACAGAGGGUGAACAGAGCUUAGAACUUCCAUAUAGAGACAAAGAGGGGACAAGCAUGGUGGGAGACGAUGCAUCUUCCCUUUCUGAUCAGGUUGGAUGCCUAACUUCCAUCAGUGAGAAUGUCAUAGCUGUGUGACUGUUAUAUGUCUCCACUAGGACUGAAUUUCUGGCUGCUUCUGUUGUACACAUGGAUAGAAAUCACCAGUUCCCCCCCCGCCCCGUC